UACGUAGGUGGCAAGCGUUGUUCGGAAUUAUUGGGCGUAAAGGGCGCGUAGGCGGUUUGCUAAGUCAGUUGUGAAAGCCCGGGGCUCAACCCCGGAGGGUCGGCUGAUACUGGUGGACUAGAGUACGGAAGAGGUAGCUGGAAUUCCCGGUGUAGCAGUGAGAUACGUAGAGAUGUGGAGGAACACCAAUGGCGAAGGCAGCCCCCUGGGUCGAUACUGACGCUCAUGCACGAAAGCGUGGGUAGCAAACAGG
rnacentral:rRNA from 1 species